UUUAUCUAUAGGAGCCGUUUUCGCUAUCAUAGCGGGGUUAGUUCAGUGAUUCCCAUUGAUUACAGGAUUAACUCUAAACCAAAAUCUCUUAAAAACCCAAUUUUUCAUUAUAUUUAUUGGAGUAAACUUAACAUUUUUUCCUCAACACUUUUUAGGACUAAACGGGAUACCUCGACGUUAUUCUGACUAUCCAGACGCAUUUUUGAAAUGAAACAUAAUUUCCUCAAUUGGAUCAAUCAUUUCUUUGAUGGCCAUCAUUCUACUAAUUUAUAUUUUCUGGGAAGGUUUUACUUCUCAGCGUAAAGCUCUUUCAAGUCUAAGGAUUCAAUCAUCAAUUGAGUGAAUACAAUUUUUCCCACCGGCAGAACAUAGAUAUGCCGAACUGCCUUUAGUAUGCGGUUAAACAAAUAAUGCUACUAUUUUCUUUUUGGUUUAUAUUUAAUUAAUAAAAAUUAGUUUAUAUUUUAGUGAAAUAUUGGGUGAAAUCCUAUUUUCUAUUUAAUUAAAUUUUUGAUUAUGAGAUUAAGAAAUCUAGCGUAUAGACUGGGAUUAGAUACCCCAUUAUUCUAGAUGUUGAUAAUUGGACCUGAUGAAUAUAAGUUAUGUUCUUUAAAAUCAAAAAAUUUGGCGGUUUUUUAUUCCAAUCAGGGGAAUCUGUCCUGUAAUCGAUAACCCACGAUUAAUAAAACUUUUAUUUUGCUUGUAUAUCGUCGUUGUUAAUUAUUUUUAGAAAUAUAUAAUUUUAAUAUAUGAUUUUGUUAAAAAUCAGAUCAAGGUGCAGCUUAUAGAAGUAGAGAUGGAUUACAAUAAACUUAUUUUAGGAUGAAUCUUAGCAUUAGGGUUCAAAAUUUGGAUUUGAAUGUAAUUUUAAUUGUUAAUUAAUAUGAAUUAGGCUCUAGAAUGUGU
rnacentral:rRNA from 1 species